UUGAAAAAUCAGUUCUCAUACAAUCAUCAAAGUUAAGCAAUGUUGGGUCUGGUUAGUACCUAGAUGGGUGGCCACUUAAGAAUACCAGGUGCUGUAA